rnacentral:rRNA from 1 species
UACAGAGGGGGCCAGCGUUGUUCGGAAUUAUUGGGCGUAAAGGGCGCGUAGGCGGCUACACAAGUCAGACGUGAAAUCCCUCGGCUCAACCGGGGAACUGCGUCUGAUACUGUGCGGCUUGAGUCCUGGAGAGGGUAGUGGAAUUCCCAGUGUAGCGGUGAAAUGCGUAGAUACUGGGAGGAACAUCGGUGGCGAAGGCGGCUACCUGGACAGUGACUGACGCUGAGGCGCGAAAGCUAGGGGAGCAAACAGG